UAUAUCGGUUGGUGCAAAAAUAAUCGCGGUUUUUGCCAUUAUUUUCAAUGCAAAAACCACGAUUACUUUUGCACCAACCUAAUAU
rnacentral:miRNA from 1 species